rnacentral:rRNA from 1 species
UAGGGAAUCUUCCGCAAUGGGCGAAAGCCUGACGGAGCAACGCCGCGUGAGUGAUGAAGGUCUUCGGAUCGUAAAACUCUGUUAUUAGGGAAGAACAAAUGUGUAAGUAACUAUGCACGUCUUGACGGUACCUAAUCAGAAAGCCACGGCUAACUACGUGCCAGCAGCCGCGGUAAUACGUAGGUGGCAAGCGUUAUCCGGAAUUAUUGGGCGUAAAGCGCGCGUAGGCGGUUUUUUAAGUCUGAUGUGAAAGCCCACGGCUCAACCGUGGAGGGUCAUUGGAAACUGGAAAACUUGAGUGCAGAAGAGGAAAGUGGAAUUCCAUGUGUAGCGGUGAAAUGCGCAGAGAUAUGGAGGAACACCGGUGGCGAAGGCGACUUUCUGGUCUGUAACUGACGCUGAUGUGCGAAAGCGUGGGGAUCAAACAGG